ACUCGAGUGGCGAACGGGUGAGUAACACGUGGGUGAUCUGCCCUGCACUUCGGGAUAAGCCUGGGAAACUGGGUCUAAUACCGGAUAGGAGCCAUUUUUAGUGUGAUGGUUGGAAAGUUUUUCGGUGUAGGAUGAGCUCGCGGCCUAUCAGCUUGUUGGUGGGGUAAUGGCCUACCAAGGCGGCGAUGGGUAGCCGGCCUGAGAGGGUGUACGGCCACAUUGGGACUGAGAUACGGCCCAG
rnacentral:rRNA from 1 species